GUCGGUGACGGAAGGGAGAGGGAGGCUGGUGAGGUUGAUGGGUUGCGUGAAGAAUUACGAUUGGGGACCACCCGGGAAGGAAUCUCGUGUAGCGCGGUUGUAUGCUUGCAAUAGUGGUAACUAUGUUGACCAAGAGAAGCCUUAUGCCGAAUUUUGGAUGGGUACUCACGAUUCUGGGCCUUCCUAUGUUGUGGAAGGAACUGAGAAUGGGUUGGUUAAUGGUAAAGGAGAGGGACACAAGUUAACAUUGAAGAAUUGGAUUCAAAACAACCCUAAUGUUCUUGGAGAGAAGGUUGUGAAGAAAUGGGGUACCAACCUUCCUUUUCUCUUCAAGGUACUAUCUGUUGCAAAAGCUUUGUCCAUACAGGCCCAUCCAGACAAGGAUUUAGCCUCUCGUCUGCAUAGUGAGCUUCCGGAUGUUUAUAAGGAUGACAAUCACAAACCGGAGAUGGCAUUGGCGUUGACGG
rnacentral:misc_RNA from 1 species